CAGGCUGCAACUCGCCUGCACGAAGUUGGAAUUGCUAGUAAUCGUGGAUCAGCAUGCCACGGUGAAUACGUUCCCGGGUCUUGUACACACCGCCCGUCACACCAUGGGAGCCGGUAAUACCCGAAGUCAGUAGUCUAACCGCAAGGAGGACGCUGCCGAAGGUAGGAUUGGCGACUGGGGUGAAGUCGUAACAAGGUAAC
rnacentral:rRNA from 1 species